ACGAACGCUGGCGGCGUGCUUAACCCCUGCAAGUCGCACGGAAAGGCCCUGCUUUUGUGGGGUGCUCGAGUGGCGAACGGGUGAGUAACACGUGAGUAACCUGCCCUUGACUUUGGGAUAACUUCAGGAAACUGGGGCUAAUACCGGAUAGGAGCUCCUGCUGCAUGGUGGGGGUUGGAAAGUUUCGGCGGUUGGGGAUGGACUCGCGGCGUAUCAGCUUGUUGGUGGGGUAGUGGCUUACCAAGGCUUUGACGGGUAGCCGGCCUGAGAGGGUGACCGGCCACAUUGGGACUGAGAUACGGACCAGACUCCUACGGGAGGCAGCAGUGGGGAAUAUUGCACAAUGGGCGGAAGCCUGAUGCAGCAACGCCGCGUGCGGGAUGACGGCCUUCGGGUUGUAAACCGCUUUCGCCUGUGACGAAGCGUGAGUGACGGUAAUGGGUAAAGAAGCACCGGCUAACUACGUG
rnacentral:rRNA from 1 species